UACAGAGGGUGCAAGCGUUGUUCGGAAUUAUUGGGCGUAAAGGGUGCGUAGGCGGUUUGGUAAGUCUGAUGUGAAAUCUAUGGGCUCAACUCAUAGUCUGCAUCGGAAACUGCCGGGCUUGAGUAUGGGAGAGGUGAGUGGAAUUCCUGGUGUAGCGGUGAAAUGCGUAGAUAUCAGGAGGGACACCUGUGGCGAAAGCGGCUCACUGGACCAUAACUGACGCUGAUGCACGAAAGCUAGGGGAGCAAACAGG
rnacentral:rRNA from 1 species